UAGUAGGCUCACCAGGCGAUGACGGGUAGCUGGUCUGAGAGGAUGUACAGCCAGAGGGGCACUGAAACACGGGCCUCACUCCUACGGGAGGCAGCAAUCGGGAAUCUUGCGCAAUGGACGAAAGUCUGACGCAGCGACGCCGCGUGAAGGAUGAAUGUCUUCGGAUUGUAAACUUCUGAAAUAUAGCACCGGCUAACUACGUGCAGCAGCCGCGG
rnacentral:rRNA from 1 species